rfam:Marinovum algicola DG 898, complete genome.
CACCGGCGCCGUGGCGAUUUGUUACCGGAUUGCGGGCCACGUUAAAAAUUCCGCUAAAAGGUCAGCAACGAAAGCCC